rnacentral:rRNA from 1 species
GAUGAACGCUGGCGGCGUGCCUAAUACAUGCGAGUCGAGCGAACAGAUGAGGAGCUUGCUCCUCUGACGUUAGCGGCGGACGGGUGAGUAACACGUGGAUAACCUACCUAUAAGACUGGGAUAACUUCGGGAAACCGGAGCUAAUACCGGAUAAUAUAUUGAACCGCAUGGUUCAAUAGUGAAAGACGGUUUUGCUGUCACUUAUAGAUGGAUCCGCGCCGCAUUAGCUAGUUGGUAAGGUAACGGCUUACCAAGGCAACGAUGCGUAGCCGACCUGAGAGGGUGAUCGGCCACACUGGAACUGAGACACGGUCCAGGCUCCUACGGGAGGCAGCAGUAGGGAAUCUUCCGCAAUGGGCGAAAGCCUGACGGAGCAACGCCGCGUGAGUGAUGAAGGUCUUCGGAUCGUAAAACUCUGUUAUUAGGGAAGAACAAAUGUGUAAGUAACUAUGCACGUCUUGACGGUACCUAAUCAGAAAGCCACGGCUAACUACGUG